rnacentral:rRNA from 1 species
UACAGGGGGGGCAAGCGUUGUUCGGAAUUACUGGGCGUAAAGGGCGCGUAGGCGGCCUGCUAAGUCGAACGUGAAAUCCCUGGGCUCAACCCAGGAACUGCGUCCGAUACUGGUUGGCUUGAAUCCGGGAGAGGGAUGUGGAAUUCCAGGUGUAGCGGUGAAAUGCGUAGAUAUCUGGAGGAACACCGGUGGCGAAGGCGACAUCCUGGACCGGUAUUGACGCUGAGGCGCGAAAGCGUGGGGAGCAAACGGG